AGGGUGAUGAUGAAAUUGGUAGACAUGAAUAGUUUAGGACUAUUUGAUUUCAAAUCAUAUCCGUUCAAGUCGGGUUCACCUUA